ACCGCGCGAAGGUAGCGUAAUCACUUGUUCUUUAAAUGAGGACUAGUAUGAAUGGCACCACGAGGGUUAUACUGUCUCCUUUUUCCGAUCAAUGAAACUGAUCUGCCCGUGAAGAAGCUGGCAUAAAAAUAUAAGACGAGAAGACCCUAUGGAGCUUUAAACCAUAAUAGCAUUGGCCUGCUAACAACACGACCACAACUCUAAUAUUAAACCGAGCCUUAAUGACUAUUAGUUUUAGGUUGGGGUGACCACGGAGUAAAAAUUAACCUCCACAUUGAAAGGAUGUACGUCCUGAGCUUAGAGUUACACCUCCAGGCACCAAUAAACUGACAUUCAUUGACCCAAUAUUUUGAUCAACGAACCAAGUU
rnacentral:rRNA from 1 species